UUUAGCGGCUCUGUAACGGGAUGGGAUGCGAAGCCCCAGUGAGGGAUAAUACAGGCUCUCCCAUCCAACUCCUAUUCCGACACGUCUCCGUCGUGCAGAGUGGUAACAUCCCAAGUGCCACAAAUCCACUAA
rnacentral:ribozyme from 1 species